UACAGAGGGUGCAAGCGUUAAUCGGAAUUACUGGGCGUAAAGGGUGCGUAGGUGGUUAAUUAAGUCAGAUGUGAAAUCCCCAGGCUUAACCUGGGAAUUGCAUUUGAAACUGAAUGACUAGAGUACGGUAGAGGGAAGUGGAAUUUCCGGUGUAGCGGUGAAAUGCGUAGAUAUCGGAAGGAACAUCAGUGGCGAAGGCGACUUCCUGGACCGUUACUGACACUGAGGCACGAAAGCGUGGGGAGCGAACAGG
rnacentral:rRNA from 1 species